GAAAUUUGAGAAAAUACGUCUUUGGUGUUGA
rnacentral:piRNA from 1 species